ACUCACGCUUGCGGCGUGCUUAACCCCUGCAAGUCGCACGGAAAGGCCCUGCUUUUGUGGGGUGCUCGAGUGGCGAACGGGUGAGUAACACGUGAGUAACCUGCCCUUGACUUUGGGAUAACUUCAGGAAACUGGGGCUAAUACCGGAAAGGAGCUCCUGCUGCAUGGGGGGGGUUGGAAAGUUUCGGCGGUUGGGGAUGGACUCGCGGCUUAUCGGCUUGGUGGGGGGGUAGUGGCUUACCAAGGCUUUGACGGGUAGCCGGCCUGAGAGGGUGACCGGCCACAUUGGGACUGCGGUACGGCCCAGACUCCUACGGGAGGCAGCAGUGGGGAAUAUUGCACAAUGGGCGGAAGCCUGAUGCAGCAACGCCGCGUGCGUGAUGACGGCCUUCGGGUUGUAAACCGCUUUCGCCUGUGACGAAGCGUGAGUGACGGUAAUGGGUAAAGAAGCACCGGCUAACUACGUG
rnacentral:rRNA from 1 species